UACGUAGGGGGCAAGCGUUGUCCGGAAUUACUGGGCGUAAAGCGUGCGCAGGCGGUUUUGUAAGCCAGAUGUGAAAUCCCCGGGCUUAACCUGGGAAUGGCAUUUGGGACUGCAAGGCUCGAGUGCGGCAGAGGAGACUGGAAUUCCUGGUGUAGCAGUGAAAUGCGUAGAUAUCAGGAGGAACACCGAUGGCGAAGGCAGGUCUCUGGGCAUUAACUGACGCUGAGGAGCGAAAGCAUGGGGAGCGAACAGG
rnacentral:rRNA from 1 species